rnacentral:lncRNA from 1 species
AGAAUUCUGAAUCUGAUGGCUAUGUUCCUUAUACUGGAAAAAGGACUUUGUUGGCCUGGCUGAUUGACUCAGGCACGGUGCAGUUGAGUGAGAAAGUGCAGUAUAUGAAUCGUAGAAGAACACGAGUAAAGCUAGAAGGUUGGAUCACAAGAGAUGGAAUUCAUUGUGGUUGCUGUAGCAAAAUCCUCACAGUCUCAAAGUUUGAGCUCCAUGCUGGUAGUAAAUUGCGUCAACCAUUUCAAAACAUCAUCUUGGAGUCUGGGCCCUCCCUACUGCAUUGCCUAAUUGAUGCAUGGAAUAGGCAAGAGGAGUCUAUGCGCCGUGAUUUCUAUGUAGUGGAUGUUGAUGGUGAUGAUCCAGAUGAUGAUACUUGUGGUAUAUGUGGUGAUGGUGGGGAUUUGAUCUGCUGUGAUGGUUGUCCCUCUACUUUUCAUCAGAACUGUUUAGGAAUACAGGUAGCAUUGCGACACAAAAUGCUAUCACAUGACACUUCACACAAUGGACUUGAAUCUUACUUAUCUAAUUAUAUACCAAUGCCAUAUACUUCCUGUGUGAUGGGAUUGAUGAUUUAUACCAAUGUACAUCUACAGAUGCCAAACUGUGUAUAUUUCCUGCAUUGACGUUACCAGAUGCAUACAAAAUCACGUGUUUGUAGACAUUCUAAUUGUCGUGAAAAUGGUGUUGAUACACUUCUAAUGCAUCAUCAACAUGUUAUGUCUUCUUCCAUUUAUGCCAUAUAGAUGGUUCCUUCUCUUACUCUAAUUUCAUACCCUAACAGCACCUAGGCAUACAAAACCAUGAGAUAAUCUUGUUAUUGCAGUGAGAGUGUAGGGAACCAUUUCUAUUCAGAAAAUUUGUGUCUCAUAUCUCUUCCCUUUGGUUCCUGGGUUGAUUCCUUGACGUUUUUCUUCUUUUAAAACAGUGUGGUGAAAUUUCUUUUCCCCUCUCUUAUUAUGGGAGAAUGGGUAGCGUAUGGCCCUUGGCAAGGACAUAGAAAAGCAGCAAUGCCUUUGUUAUUGUUUGAGUAGUUAGCCUAAAGGUUUCCUUUGGGCAAGUAUAUCUUUGAGGAUACUCUAGUAGUUCAAAGAGUCAAUACUAAAGGGCAAUAACAAGAUUUUACAUGAGGGAAGCUAAUUUGUGUGGUUCCCGUUCCUUCUUGGGGCACAUAUUUAGAAGCAUUUGUACUGUUUGCCAAUUGUGUCAAAUACAUGUACUGGAUGCUCUUCUAAAACCUUUAUUGUCGGUAAUCAUAACUUCUUGGUGCAGAUGCUUCCGAAAGGUGAUUGGCAUUGUCCAAAUUGUACAUGCAAAUUCUGUGGAACUGCCAGUGGAAAUCUGAAUGAAGAAAAUGCAACUCCAAGCGAACUUUUCAUGUGCAUUCUUUGUGAGAAAAAAUGUAAUGAUCAUUUUGCCUUUAUAAUCCUGUAAUUGCUUUUCCAUUUGCAUACCUUUCUCUUUGUUUUUUUCUCCUAUUUUAAUUUAAGAAAGAAUUCUUAUUAAAGUUUUUCUUGGAUCCAUUUAGAUCACAAAUCAUGCACUGAGGAGAUGGUUUCUCCACUUGCAAACACCAAUAGUCCUCUUUCUUUUUGUGGGAAGAAGUGCCAAGAGGUAUUACGUGGUGUUUUCUUUUUUGAGAUUUAACUACCUGUGAUAUAAGCUGGUGCCUUUAGUAUGUUAAAUAAAUUGAAAUUGUUAGUAAUGAAGCUGAUAUUUUGGGUCGCAAGCAUAUUGGCAAUACUUUCUGCCGAAGUGAGAAAACCUUUUGGUUGGGAAUUGAUUCAUGUUGUAUAUGUUGGGAUACCGUUUUAGGGGUUUGAGGUCAAUGUGCUAAAGCAUUUACUGGUGAUCCUGAGAUUAUCACAAUCAUUAAUGCAAUUAAUUUGUCUGAGCUAUCGUUUUAUUAAGCGCUGAUUACAAACUUUAAUAUUGCAAGUUCAAAUCUUGAUUUACUCAAUGCAAUUAAGCUUCAACUUCACAAAAUGAUAAUGCAUUUGCUUGCGAUUUGCUUCAGACGCUCUGAACUACAUUUUUGUUCCUUUUAAAUAUGUUUAGCUAGAGUCUAGAAGUAAGUAAUACAUAACUAGUAGUUGUGUAAGUUGACGGUUUAGUGUGAUUGAAGAGAGAGAAUGUUUUGUAUAGCUCAUUUGGAGUCCAAUGUUUUGUCAAUGAAGUUUAAUUAUGUAGAGAGAGAAUGUUGCAGGGAUAUUGUCAUUUAGGUAUUGCAUUGACUUAGAAGUUUAAGACAUGGCACUGGUAUUUUAUCACAUAAGCUAUUACUAUAAGUUGGUUUAUGCAGAAUUAUUGUAAUAGAAGUCCCAAAGGUCUAGAGUUAGGGUCUUCAGGGUGCACUGAAGAGUUGCAACACUGGAUCAAUCAAAGCACCUAGUAUUUCUUCUUUAAUACAAUUAAAACACCUUCAACUCUCACAGAGGGUAAUGGACAAUGACAAAAUAACCAAACCUGGUUAGUGACACCUCCUAGUGUAUUCAGAUUAUCAUUUAAUCUUGUAUGCAGAUCUCCUCUUCUUUUUUGGGUGGGGAGGUGUCUUUGGAUGCUGCUGUGAGAAUGUUCUAAUUACGUUAUGUUCUUGGUCUUUGGCAUUGAUUUUUGUUUCUUGUUAUUUGCAUCACAGAAUUCCACACAAAAAAAAUAUGAAAGAGUUGUUUAAAUAAUUUCCAUAUUUUCUAAGCUUAUUUAUUACAACGCGAUUUGGAAAUGGAUUUUUGGGGCUGUGGGUUUUGGUUAUUAUGGUAGAUGAUACUUUUUAUCUGUCUCUUAGUUGUGACAUGUUGAUUUUUAUUGCGUGAAAUAUGCUGCAAAGGCAUCUGAAGUAAUUUUUUCCCUGGUUUCUCCAGCUAUAUGAUCAAUUGCAGAAGAUUCUUGGGGUCAAACAUGAGCUGGAAGCAGGAUUUUCAUGGUCUCUAUUACAAAGAACAGAUUUAGAAUCUGACACGGCGAGCCGGGGAUUUCCUCAAAGAGUGGAAUGCAAUUCUAAGUUAGCUGUUGCAUUAUCUGUCAUGGAUGAGUGCUUUUUGCCCAUUGUUGACAGGAGGAGUGGAAUUAAUUUGAUCCAUAAUGUGCUUUAUAAUUGUGGGUAAGUGCCUUUUGGCGACAUGCUACCCCACUGUUCAUAAUUGGAGUCUGGUCCAGCUAGACAACUUUGUUUCAAAUCUUGCCUAUUUUGUCUAAAAUUUGCCUUUGGACUUAUUUGCUUGGGAAGAUUGUGUAUUUGUUUUUUACUUGUGAUGCUCCACGAGUUCAAAAUUCUGGUUGAAGCCAUCACGUUUGCAUGACUUUAGCUGCAUUAAAGCAUACUUUAAUGUCUGUGUAGUAUUUUCAAUCUUGUGAUUUAAUCUGAUUUUUUCCCCUUUGUUGCCAGAAGUACUGCUUAUGAUUCUUGUCGUUUUCUGAUUGUCACUAUUGAAGUUUUUGUUGCUGUUGCUGCCUUGUGUGUCAUUGGCUCUGUCAGAUAUCUUGUCCCUCUUUUGGCGACCAUCCACCCUGUCAUUCAUUCUCUGGUGCCUUUUGUGUGGUGUACCCAUAUAAACAUGAUCAUGCCUUUCUACAUUAUUCUCCCCCUCUCGAUUCAGCUAAUUAUGCAUGCAGAUUUGAUUGUAUCUUUGGGAUCAGUUUCCUUAUGCUUCCUUUAUUUUUUCUCUGUAGAGCAAACUUUAGUCGGUUGAAUUAUCAUGGCUUCUUCACAGUGGUUUUGGAGAGGGGUGAUGAAAUAAUUUCUGCAGCAUCUAUCAGGUAAAUGACUAAUGAUAUCAACAUUAGCGGUCUGCAGAAAAUUGUUUGUCAAUUUCUUCUAUUAUCAAGUAAAAAAUGGCAAUCACACCUUUUUCGUAAGAUGUUAAUGUUGAAGGUGUUCAUGUGAUCUUUCUUAUAACCUUUCUUAUAACAAAUCUUAAUUUUGUCCUUUUCUGAAUGGAACCUUCUUUUUUUUUUGGUCGCUUAAUUGGCCAGCACACUGUUGAAAGUUGAAAUUUUUUCUGACACACCUUUGGGAAUUUAGUUGUUGGUAACUUUCCGGGUUUUGAACUAUUAAUAUUGUUCUUUGCACUAUUCAAUUAGCUGUUUUUUUAUUAACCAAUCAGGGUUGCUUUUUGAAAGAUUAGUCUACUACAUUUGCUAUGCAUUUGUGUUGGCAGUAACCAUGGGUAACAUCAUUGUUAGUACUGUUAUGGGCCCUGCUUUUUAAAUUUGGUGAAAAAUUAUCAAGGUUAACGCCUUGUCACAUGUUUUGAUAAAUUAAUUAGGUAGGCAACCUUUAUGGUGAUCUAAUCAGUGAUGUGUGGCUGUAGUUCAGAUUGUGUUCUUGCAUCCAUGUUUGCUUUCUGUGUGUAUUAUCCACAUUUGAAGUUAUUCUAAUUAUUCAGCUGCUCAUCCUUUUGCUAGGAUCCAUGGACUACAAUUAGCAGAGAUGCCUUUUAUUGGAACUCGCAACAUAUAUAGGCGCCAAGGAAUGUGCCGACGGCUAUUGUCUGCAAUUGAAUCGGUAUGAGUGCUGCUAAUUCUAUUUUAUGCUUUUUAGUUGAAAAAGAUCUGUUGGAUUUUUUCUUUUGUGCUGAGCCAGUACAGCAUUAUCUGUCAAGUCCUCAAAUUUGAUGACCUUUUGUGAUAUAUCCUUCUGCUUAUUAUCUUCUCUUUCAGUUUUUUAGGAUCUGAUAAUCUAUCAUCCUUCACUGCCAUAAGAAUAAGAAUCCUUAACCCUGACGGUUGGGCAGGGAGAUUUAAGUUUGCUUUGUUUGUUAUUCUUAUUUGUUUGUUUAGAUGUGUGGCUGGGUUGUUUGAUGGGACAUCUAUCCUGGUGCUUGAUGUGGAUUCAUUAAAUGUAUAGUGUAAGGAGUGGGGACAUGUCAGCCAUCAUAAAGUCUGCCACGUGUUCUUUGUCCUAUCUGAGGAGGAUGAGUUGUUCAUCCUUCAGCAAUAUAUCCAGAUCAAAAAGUUUCGUCUUUAAAUUAGAUGCAUGACGUGAAUGCAUGUGCUUGUUAGUGUUGUAAAUGUAUUGUGUGCCUUGCCUGCUGUGGGAAGCAAUGCAACUAUGCCAUGCUGCUUGAAGUAAUUCUGAAUACGUGUCAGCAUGGACAAUUGAGGCUGAUAAUUAUGUCUCAACUGUUUAUUUACCUUUUUAUUUUAAUUAUAAUUGAUUUUUAUUUUGGUUUCUUAGAUGGACUAAUCAUGUAGUUGUCAUCAUUACAUAUUCAGGUCCUUUGCUCUCUCAAAGUCGAAAAAUUGAUAAUUCCUGCAAUUUCUGAGCAUAUGCAUACAUGGACUGUAGUUUUCGGUUUCAAACAACUUGAAGAUCCAGACAAGAAGGAGACGAAGUCAAUCAACAUGUUGGUGUUUCCAGGGACAGAUAUGUUGCAGAAGCAACUGUUCAAGCAAGGAAUUCCUGGCGGUAACUUGAUUAAUAUGUCUGCUUUCCUUGUGUUUUUCUGAUACCUUUUUUUUCUUGUAAAGAAAGUUUGUCUUGAUUGAUAUUUCUACCUCAGGUCUGAAAGGUUUUGAUUCGAAAGACAAUUUGCCUCAGCUGCCUGCUUCAGCGGAAAAACCUGACAUUGAGUCCCUCCAGAAUCAGGAGAUGAACAGUGGCUCUAGGGGUGGAUCAGACCAUAAAAAUAAUGUCAGUGACAAAGCUGAGACUAUUCCUCUGUUUUCAGCUUCUGCUAUACCUUCAAAUGAUGGAACCGUAGCUGGUGCUUCAGAGACUGCUAAUGAAUCUGAUAUCCAAAUCUCUAGUAAGGAUAUCGGAGAAUCUCAGCUUGUUAAGGAUGGCGUAGAAUCUUCCAGCAAGAGCAGUUCUCGCUCUGGUGUAGCCACUGACCCUCUUGUGAUUGAAAGCUCUAUUUUGAAUUUUCCAGCCAAACCUGACACUCCAUCCUCUGUAAAUGGUUUAGUGAGUGAUGCACAUAAAGUGGAUGCACAAUUUUCUUCAUCAGGUUCUCUUCUUGAUUUUCGGUGUAAAACAUCAGAAAACAUGGUUGAGGAUGCAGAUGAAAACCACAGUCCUGUUUCCAUUGCUACUGUCCAUAAUAGUGAUGCAAAUUGCAUUCAGAACCACAAAGUAAGAAAUACCCCUUCAGCAUCUUCUUCUGGUACAGAAGUUGUGCAAGACCUGGGUAAUGGAGAUGCCUUUGGAAAAGGUUCUGAUGGUGCUGUUCCUGAAGCUGUGAUGAAAUGUGUUACUGUUGAAACUGUACCCAGAUUUUUCCCAGAAACAUCUUCACAGAAUGGUAAAGAAAUGUCUUGUAGCAAACAGAAUUUUGCAUCUGAUCCUCAGCAUAUUAAUGGUGAAGAUCUAAUAUUGCGAUUUAACUCAGACUUGAAUCAGCCAGUCACAAUGGAUGAUGAAAGCGAGUCACAGGCGUCCUUGAAAAUUGUUGGUGAUGCUAAAACAGCAAGCAAUCUGAAAAUUGAUUCUGUUGGUUGUGACAAAGGAACCUCUGCAGGUAGUGAUGCUAACAAUGAUGCUAGAACUGAUGUAAAAGGUCGUCAUUGUGAAAAUGCUUCUGAUUCCUUGAAUCAAGGCUCUUCGGGAAAUGAAUUUGAAAGGGAAGAAGAGGGUCAUAGUUCUGAUUCUGCUUCUCGACGCACAGGUGCUGAAGUCACUGCUGAGGUUAGUUUUGUUCAUAAGAACACUUCAGGAAUAGAGAAUGGACUCUUUGUUGCUUCAGAAUCUCAUUCUGAAGCAGAAGUUCCUCUUCCAGAUAAAGAAGUCCAUUGUUCAAGUGAAUUGGAACAUGGGUGUGAGGUAAAUGCAGGAGGAGUUGGUGGUUGUCCUCUUUCUGAUUCUUCUGGUGCCAGAGUUCUUGAGGUGUCUGAAACCAGAGAUCGAUUUGAUGGAGCACACAAGUUGGAUGACUCAUAGAAGGGUAGGAGAGUCCUUGAUUGUGCUGAUACAGAUCUUGGUUCUUGUGUAUCUUUGGUGCAAAAUUCAAGAGUCGAGUGAUGAGGAUAUCCUGCAUAUGAUU